rnacentral:rRNA from 1 species
CCUACGGGGGGCAGCAGUGGGGAAUAUUGGGCAAUGGGCGCAAGCCUGACCCAGCAACGCCGCGUGAAGGAAGAAGGCUUUCGGGUUGUAAACUUCUUUUCUCAGGGACGAAACAAGUGACGGUACCUGAGGAAUAAGCCACGGCUAACUACGUGCCAGCAGCCGCGGUAAUACGUAGGUGGCAAGCGUUAUCCGGAUUUACUGGGUGUAAAGGGAGUGUAGGCGGGGACGUAAGUCAGAUGUGAAAACCACGGGCUCAACCGUGGGACUGCAUUUGAAACUGUGUUUCUUGAGUACUGGGGAGGAAGACGGAAUUCCUGGUGUAGCGGUGAAAUGCGUAGAUAUUAGGAGGAACACCAGUGGCGAAGGCGGGCGGCUGGACAGCAACUGACGCUGAGGCGCGAAAGCGUGGGGAGCAAACAGGAUUAGAUACCCGUGUAGUC